GAUGAACGCUAGCGGCAGGCCUAAUACAUGCAAGUCGUACGGGAGGGGCCCCUUCGGGGGCCUUGAGAGUGGCGCACGGGUGCGCAACGCGUAUGCAACCAACCCCCCGCAGGCGGAUAGCCGGUGGAAACGCCGGAUAAUACGCCAUGGUUCCCGAGGAGGGCAUCCUCGUUGGGAUAAAGCUUUUGCGGCGGGGGACGGGCAUGCGUCCCAUUAGAUAGUAGGCGGGGUGACGGCCCACCUAGUCGACGAUGGGUAGGGGAUCUGAGAGGACGGUCCCCCACACUGGUACUGAGACACGGACCAGACUCCUGCGGGAGGCAGCAGUAAGGGAUAUUGGUCAAUGGUCGGAAGACUGAACCAGCCAUGCCGCGUGAGGGAAUGAGGCCCUACGGGUCGUGAACCUCUUUUGUCCAGGGACAAUGACGGCGUCGCGAACGUCGUUUGAGGGUACUGGAAGAAUAAGCGUCGGCUAACUCCGUGCCAGCAGCCGCGGUAAUACGGAGGACGCGAGCGUUAUCCGGAUUCAUUGGGUUUAAAGGGUGCGCAGGCGGCCGUGCAAGUCAGCGGUGAAAGCCCGGGGCCCAACCCCGGAAGUGCCGUUGAUACUGUGCGGCUGGAAUGCGGUCGAGGCGGGCGGAACGUGGCGUGUAGCGGUGAAAUGCGUAGAUAUGCCACAGAACGCCGAUAGCGAAGGCAGCUCGCCAGGCCUGCAUUGACGCUCGGGCACGAAAGCGUGGGGAUCGAACA
rnacentral:rRNA from 1 species